rnacentral:rRNA from 1 species
GCGCUUGAGAGAACUCGGGUGAAGGAACUAGGCAAAAUGGUGCCGUAACUUCGGGAGAAGGCACGCUGGCAUGUAGGUGAAGUCCCUUGCGGAUGGAGCUGAAGCCAGUCGAAGAUACCAGCUGGCUGCAACUGUUUAAUAAAAACACAGCACUGUGCAAACACGAAAGUGGACGUAUACGGUGUGACGCCUGCCCGGUGCUGGAAGGUUAAUUGAUGGGGUCAGCCGCAAGGCGAAGCUCUUGAUCGAAGCCCCAGUAAACGGCGGCCGUAACUAUAACGGUCCUAAGGUAGCGAAAUUCCUUGUCGGGUAAGUUCCGACCUGCACGAAUGGCGUAAUGAUGGCCAGGCUGUCUCCACCCGAGACUCAGUGAAAUUGAACUCGCUGUGAAGAUGCAGUGUACCCGCGGCAAGACGGAAAGACCCCGUGAACCUUUACUAUAGCUUGACACUGAACAUUGAGCCUUGAUGUGUAGGAUAGGUGGGAGGCUUUGAAGCGUGGACGCCAGUCUGCGUGGAGCCAUCCUUGAAAUACCACCCUUUAAUGUUUGAUGUUCUAACUCGGCCCCAUAAUCUGGGGUGAGGACAGUGUCUGGUGGGUAGUUUGACUGGGGCGGUCUCCUCCCAAAGAGUAACGGAGGAGCACGAAGGUUAGCUAAUCACGGUCGGACAUCGUGAGGUUAGUGCAAAGGCAUAAGCUAGCUUGACUGCGAGAG